GAGUUUGAUCCUGCUCAGGGACGACGCUGNNUGGCGGGCCUAACACAUGCAAGUCGAACGAGCUUUUCCGGUGCUGCACUGGGAAAAUCGAGUGGCGAACGGGUGAGUAAUACAUGAGAAACCUGCCUUGGAGACGGGGACAACCUCGGGAAACUGAGGCUAAUACCCGAUAUCCCUGCCGAGUCGCAUGACUUGGCAAGAAAAUACUCAGGUGCUCCAAGAGGGUCUCAUGCCCUAUCAGCUUGUUGGUGAGGUAAAAGCUCACCAAGGCUUAGACGGGUAGCUGGUCUGAGAGGAUGAUCAGCCACACUGGGACUGAGACACGGCCCAGACUCCUACGGGAGGCAGCAGUGGGGAAUCUUGCGCAAUGGGCGAAAGCCUGACGCGGCCACGCCACGUGUGGGACGACGGCCCUCGGGUUGUAAACCACUUUCAGCAGGGACGAAAAUGACGGUACCUGCAGAAGAAGCCCCGGCCAACUACGUGCCAGCAGCCGCGGUAACACGUAGGGGGCGAGCGUUGUCCGGAAUUACUGGGCGUAAAGGGCUCGUAGGCGGUUUGGUAAGUCAGAUGUGAAAACUCCAGGCUCAACUUGGAGACGCCAUCUGAUACUGCCAUGACUAGAGUUUGGUAGAGGAGUGCAGAAUUCCCGGUGUAGCGGUGAAAUGCGCAGAUAUCGGGAGGAAUACCAGUCAGCGAAGGCGGCACUCUGGGCCACAACUGACGCUGAGGAGCGAAAGCGUGGGGAGCGAACAGGAUUAGAUACCCUGGUAG
rnacentral:rRNA from 1 species